rnacentral:rRNA from 1 species
UCCUACGGGAGGCAGCAGUGGGGAAUCUUGCACAAUGGAGGAAACUCUGAUGCAGCGAUGCCGCGUGAGUGAAGAAGGCCCUUGGGUUGUAAAGCUCUUUUGUCGGGAAAGAUAAUGACUGUACCCGAAGAAUAAGGUCCGGCUAACUUCGUGCCAGCAGCCGCGGUAAUACGAAGGGACCUAGCGUAAUUCGGAAUUACUGGGCGUAAAGCGCGCGUAGGCGGUUAAGUAAGUUAAUUGUGAAAGCCCAAAGCUCAACUUUGGAAUUGCAAUUAAAACUACUUAGCUAGAGUUUAUCAGAGGAAAGCGGAAUACAUAGUGUAGAGGUGAAAUUCGUAGAUAUUAUGUAGAACACCAGUUGCGAAGGCGGCUUUCUGGGAUAACACUGACGCUGAGGUGCGAAAGUAUGGGUAGCGAAGAGGAUUAGAUACCCUCGUAGUCCAUACCGUAAACGAUGAUUGUUAGAUGUUGGAAAUUUAUUUUCAGUAUCACAGCUAACGCGUUAAACAAUCCGCCUGGGGAGUACGACCGCAAGGUUAAAACUCAAAUGAAUUGACGG